rnacentral:rRNA from 1 species
AGGUGGAUUAGUGGCGCACGGGUGAGUAACGCAUAGGUAAUAUGCCCUUUGGGUUUCCCCUUUGGGGGGGGGGAAAUUAAGCCACUGGAAACGGUGAUUAAUACUAGAUACUCCCUACGGGGGAAAGAAUUUCGCCAAAGGAUUAGCCUAUGUCCUAUCAGCUUGUUGGUGAGGUAAUGGCUCACCAAGGCUAUGACGGGUAUCCGGCCUGAGAGGGUGAACGGACACACUGGAACUGAGACACGGUCCAGACUCCUACGGGAGGCAGCAGUAGGGAAUAUUGCUCAAUGGGGGAAACCCUGAAGCAGCAACGCCGCGUGGAGGAUGAAGGUUUUAGGAUUGUAAACUCCUUUUGUUAGAGAAGAUU